rfam:Trichobilharzia regenti genome assembly, scaffold: TRE_scaffold0011402
GCACUGAUGAAGAGUUCCAAAAUAGGACGAAACAGCUGUCCAGCAC